GAUGCUGGGCUUAUGAUCUUUAACUGAAGUUUGUAGCCCACUUCCCUGAACAGUAAUGGAGCUAAACAUUAAAAUUAGGUCAUAAUAAGUUUAUCCUUCUGUUUGAUGGGAUAACCUGUUUGGAAUUCCCCUUCAAGAUGAGCGUCUGUCUUCUUUUACAGCACCACACAGGAUGACAAAUUGAAAUGCUUCCGUUGGCAUCUCUAAUGAUGUUCCUACUGUUGUUGCAGAGUCUGGGUUCUUUAUCUCGGUGUGCUAGGAGCUGAUUUGCUCAUAGAGGCAUGAGAUAUUUAUUUCAUUUCUGCACAGAGGUAUCUUCAGUAGUUGAAAUUUUAAGAACAGUCAACAAGAGAAGGCUAUCUUUGAUGUUGAGAUAUGCGACCAGUUGCCUGUGUUCUUGUCUUGGAGACAUCAUUUAACACAUGAUUGAUGGGACAGCUGCUUUGUUCUGGUGAAGAGGGAGAGAUAAGGGCCUCUUCCCCUGUCACGCUUGAAAACGCAACACAAGACAAGUGAUGAUGACUUACUACAAUGACUCUCGACAAGUGAUGAUGCAAGAUGACCCAUGAUGAUGACCUGCGAUGAUGGACAAUAACACGUGAUGACAUGUAAUGACACAAGACGAUGACUCACAACUAAGGAUGAGAACUCCUGAUGACACACGAUGACAUACAAAACCAAAACAUGACAGUAGGUGACAUGUUCAAUGUCUACUAUUUGCAUCCAAUGACAUGCAAAGUCAACUUGCAACAGUGAAUGAGAGCAUUCGCUGACAUUCAGUGUAAGCUCACAGACACGAAUGGCAACACAUCAUGACACUCAAAUGACACGUGAUGACAUGUUACAUGUGAUAACGUGAUAGUGACUCAUGACAAUGGAUGACAGUAUGUCAUGACACAUGGUGACGCACAAUGACAACUCACAAAGAUGGAUGGCAACACACGAUGACACGUAAUGACACAUGAAGACAGACGAGUACACAUGACGAUCCAUGACGACACUUCAUGUUUAUGGAGGACAACACGUGACCACAUGCGAUGGUACGUGACAGCAACACAUGGUAAUGGUUGAUGACAUGCAGUGAUAUAUGAUGAGCCACAGUGAUGACUCACGAUGGCGGGUAAUGACACAUCACGACACUUGACAUCAACUCGUGAUGAACGAGAAGAUGAUGACACCUGACAACAUGUGAUGAUGAUUUGCAGUGAUGGAUAACAGCAAAUCAUGACACAUGAUGACACGCAAAACGACUUGUGAAGACGGACAAUGACACGUGACAUCGACUCACAGUGAUGGACGAUGACAAGUCAACUCGCAAUGUCAGAUGACGAUGUAUCAUGACACAUAGUUACAAGUGACGAUGACUCCCAGUUGACACAUGAUAACACAUCAUGCCACACGAUGACAUGCAGUGACAACUAAUGAUCGAGAGGCGAUAAGUCAUGACACACAAUGACACGUGACAUCAAAUCACAAUGAUGUAUCGUGACAUCUUUUGACAUGUCUUGACACAUGACGAUGACUCAUGAAAAUAAAUGAUGACAUGUUGUGACAUGCAACAACACGCUUUCAGGUUGGCUGGAUC
ensembl:lncRNA